rnacentral:rRNA from 1 species
AGGUCUUGACAUACCAUGACAAACUAAGAGAUUAGUCUUUCCCUUCGGGGACAUGGAUACAGGUGGUGCAUGGUUGUCGUCAGCUCGUGUCGUGAGAUGUUGGGUUAAGUCCCGCAACGAGCGCAACCCUUAUUAUCAGUUGCCAGCAUUCAGUUGGGCACUCUGGUGAGACUGCCGGUGACAAACCGGAGGAAGGUGGGGACGACGUCAAAUCAUCAUGCCCCUUAUGACCUGGGCUACACACGUGCUACAAUGGUCGGUACAACGUGUUGCGAACUCGCGAGGGCAAGCAAAUCACUUAAAACCGAUCUCAGUUCGGAUUGCAGGCUGCAACUCGCCUGCAUGAAGCUGGAAUCGCUAGUAAUCGCGGAUCAGCAUGCCGCGGUGAAUACGUUCCCGGGCCUU